CGAAAACUUCACCUUGGGAGAAAUCUCGAUGAGGGAAUUCCAAGUGCUAGCACUAUGUGUUAGCUGUUCUUUUGUCUAAAAAACAGAAGAAGUAAGGGCCGGGUAAGACGGGUGCCAGCCGCCGCGGUAAUACCCGCGGCCCGAGUGGUGGUCGAUAUUAUUGAGCCUAAAACGUCCGUAGCCGGUCUUGUAAAUCCUUGGGUAAAUCGGCCAGCUUAACUGUCCGAAGUCCGGGGAGACUGCAAGACUUGGGAUCGGGAGAGGUCAGAGGUACUUCUGGGGUAGGGGUAAAAUCCUGUAAUCCUGGAAGGACCACCGGUGGCGAAGGCGUCUGACUAGAACGAAUUCGACGGUGAGGGACGAAGCCCUGGGGCGCAAACGGGAUUAGAUACCCCGGUAGUCCAGGGUGUAAACGCUGCGGGCUUGGUGUUGGGGGUCCUUUGUGGGCGCCCAGUGCCGGAGAGAAGUUGUUAAGCCUGCUGCUUGGGGAGUACGUCCGCAAGGAUGAAACUUAAAGGAAUUGGCGGGGGAGCAC
rnacentral:rRNA from 1 species